UACGUAGGGGGCAAGCGUUGUCCGGAUUUAUUGGGCGUAAAGAGCGUGUAGGCGGUUUGGUAGGUCCGCUGUGAAAACUCGAGGCUCAACCUCGAGACGCCGGUGGAAACCAUCAGACUAGAGUCCGGAAGAGGAGAGUGGAAUUCCUGGUGUAGCGGUGAAAUGCGUAGAUAUGCGGAGGAACACCAAUGGCGAAGGCAAUCCCCUGGGCCUGUACUGACGCUCAUGCACGAAAGCGUGGGGAGCAAACAGG
rnacentral:rRNA from 1 species